rnacentral:rRNA from 1 species
UACGUAGGGACCAAGCGUUGUUCGGAUUUACUGGGCGUAAAGGGCGCGUAGGCGGCAAUUCAAGUCAUCUGUGAAAUCUCCGGGCUUAACCCGGAACGGUCAGGUGAUACUGUUUUGCUAGAGUGCGGAAGGGGCAAUCGGAAUUCUCGGUGUAGCGGUGAAAUGCGUAGAUAUCGAGAGGAACACCAGAGGUGAAGACGGGUUGCUGGGCCGACACUGACGCUGACAGCGCGAAAGCCAGGGGAGCAAACGGGG